UACGGAGGAUCCGAGCGUUAUCCGGAUUUAUUGGGUUUAAAGGGUGCGCAGGCGGGAUGUUAAGUCGGCGGUGAAAUUUUGCAGCUCAACUGUAAAAAGUGCCUUCGAUACUGGCUUUCUUGAGUGUGGAUGAAGUAGGCGGAAUUUGUGGUGUAGCGGUGAAAUGCUUAGAUAUCACGAGGAACUCCGAUUGCGCAGGCAGCUUACUAAACCACUACUGACGCUCAUGCACGAAGGCGUGGGGAUCAAACAGGAUUAGAUACCCCCGUA
rnacentral:rRNA from 1 species